rnacentral:rRNA from 1 species
CCUACGGGAGGCAGCAGUAGGGAAUAUUGCGCAAUGGGGGAAACCCGGAAGCAGCAACGCCGCGGGGAGGAUGAAGGUUUUAGGAGUGGAAACGCCUUUUGUUAGAGAAGAGGAGGACGGUAGCUAACGAAUAAGAACCGGAUAACUCAGUGCCAGCAGCCGCGGUAAGACGGAGGGUGCAAGCGUUACUCGGAAUAACUGGGCGUCAAGAGUGCGUAGGCGGGGUCAUAAGUCAGAUUUGAAAUCCUGUAGCUUUACGACAGAACUGCAUUUGAAACUGUUACUCUGGAGUGUGGGAGAUGUCGGUUGAAUUCUUGGUGUAGUGGUCCAUUCCGUAGAGUUCCCGAGGAAUACUCAUUGC